CCCUACGGGGUGCAUCGAGUCCAUGCGGGACAUUACGGAGAUACGGCGCAAGGAGGAGGCCCUCUUGGAGGCCGAGGCGAAAUUCCGGGGGAUUUUUGAAAACGCCAUUCUUGGAAUGUUCCAGAUAUCCCCGAAAGGACGGCUUAUCAGCGCCAAUAUGGCCUGCGCCCGCAUCCUCGGAUACAGUUCCCCGGAGGAGUUGAUCGAGAACGGGAAUCCUAUCGCUCCGCUGUUUGUUUUGCCGGAGAGCUAUUCCGAAUUGUUCCGGCGCCGGGAGGAGU
rnacentral:rRNA from 1 species